GAUCUUUAGGCGUGACCUCACUUUAAUAUUGCUGCAACAAUAUGACUAUUAAUGUGUUACCCCUGUUCUACUCUCGUCUAUUGCUGCAAGACCCUGAAGAUGCUAGUNNNNNNNNNNUUGUGUUACCCCCCCUGUUCUACUCUCGUCUAUUGCUGCAAGACCCUGAAGAUGCUAGUCUUCGAUAGGACUAGGCCUUCUCUCUCUAUUCUCGCAUUGCUGCAGUCAGUCCACAUAUGACCCCCUUCUUUGAUACUGGUGCAUAAUUAGAAUAGUUCUGAUGUAAGACUUGCGAGUACUUUGGAUGAGUACUCACCGCUGCUUUGCUCCCC
rnacentral:lncRNA from 1 species